UUGAAUAAACUUGGUUGGGUUGCUGCUGGCUCUUCGGAGCAUGUGCACGCCUAUUCCAUCUUUAUACCCCUGUGCACCUUGUGUGGAUCUGAAGAACAUUUCGAUGGCAAUUUGCCCUUCGGUCAGGGAACUGCUGCGUCGCAAGGCGAGCUUUUCUUGUUAGUUCAGAUCUACGUUUUCCACACACCCUACUGAAGAAUGUAUCUGAAUGUUGCUUGUAUAAUAAAAACAUA
rnacentral:misc_RNA from 1 species